rnacentral:rRNA from 1 species
GGACCCGCACAAGCGGUGGAGCAUGUGGUUUAAUUCGAAGCAACGCGAAGAACCUUACCAAGUCUUGACAUCGGAAUGACCGUCCCGUAACGGGGACUUCCCUUCGGGGCAUUCCAGACAGGUGGUGCAUGGUUGUCGUCAGCUCGUGUCGUGAGAUGUUGGGUUAAGUCCCGCAACGAGCGCAACCCUUAUCCUUAGUAGCCAGCAGUUCGGCUGGGCACUCUGGGGAGACUGCCAGGGAUAACCUGGAGGAAGGUGGGGAUGACGUCAAAUCAUCAUGCCCCUUAUGAUUUGGGCUACACACGUGCUACAAUGGCGUAAACAAAGGGAAGCGAAGGAGUGAUCUGGAGCAAAUCUCAAAAAUAACGUCUCAGUUCGGAUUGUAGUCUGCAACUCGACUACAUGAAGCUGGAAUCGCUAGUAAUCGCGGAUCAGAAUGCCGCGGUGAAUACGUUCCCGGGUCUUGUACACACCGCCCGUCACACCAUGGGAGUUGGUAACGCCCGAAGUCAGUGACCCAACCGUAAGGAGGGAGCUGCCGAAGGCGGGACUGAUAACUGGGGUGAAGUCGUAACAAGGUAGCCGUAUCGGAAGGUGCGGCU